rnacentral:rRNA from 1 species
UACGUAGGGUGCGAGCGUUAAUCGGAAUUACUGGGCGUAAAGCGUGCGCAGGCGGUUGGUUAAGUCUGAUGUGAAAGCCCCGGGCUCAACCUGGGAAUGGCAUUGGAAACUGGCGGGCUUGAGUAUGGCAGAGGGGGGUGGAAUUCCGCGUGUAGCAGUGAAAUGCGUAGAGAUGUGGAGGAACACCGAUGGCGAAGGCAGCCCCCUGGGUCAAAACUGACGUUCAUGCACGAAAGCGUGGGGAGCGAACAGG